GAUGAACGCUGGCGGCGUGCCUAAUACAUGCAAGUCGAGCGAAUGGAUUAAGAGCUUGCUCUUAUGAAGUUAGCGGCGGACGGGUGAGUAACACGUGGGUAACCUGCCCAUAAGACUGGGAUAACUCCGGGAAACCGGGGCUAAUACCGGAUAACAUUUUGAACCGCAUGGUUCGAAAUUGAAAGGCGGCUUCGGCUGUCACUUAUGGAUUGACCCGCGUCGCGUUAGGUAGUUGGUGAGGUAACGGCGCACCAAGGCAACGAUGCGUAGCCGACCUGAGAGGGUGAUCGGCCACACUGGGACUGAGACACGGCCAAGACUCCUACGGGAGGCAGCAGUAGGGAAUCUUCCGCAAUGGACGAAAGUCUGACGGAGCAACGCCGCGUGAGUGAUGAAGGCUUUCGGGUCGUAAAACUCUGUUGUUAGGGAAGAACAAGUGCUAGUUGAAUAAGCUGGCACCUUGACGGUACCUAACCAGAAAGCCACGGCUAACUACGUGCCAGCAGCCGCGGUAA
rnacentral:rRNA from 1 species